rnacentral:sRNA from 1 species
AAAAAAAAUGGGCGCAACGCCCAUCUUCCCUUACUGCCUGGUCGCACCUGAGCCGCACAUAAAUCCGUACGCCCAGCGACUUUGUGAUUAUAGCGUUUU